AUACCUUUCUCAGCCUUUUGGCUAAGAUAAAGUGUAAUAUUUGUUCUUAUCAAUUUAAUAUCUGGUAUAUGUGGACUAUAUGUUUAUUUUGAUAUUAAAUUUAUCUUUUAUAGGGACAAUCCACCGCACUGAUCUACUGGACCCAUC
rnacentral:snRNA from 1 species